GUCGAACGAUGAGGCCUAGCUUGCUAGGUGGAUUAGUGGCGCACGGGUGAGUCUUUAUAUAGAUAACGUGCCUCUUAGUCUGGGAUAGCCAUUGGAAACGAUGAUUAAUACUAGAUACUCCUUCUGAUUCUAAUUUCAGUCGGGAAAGUUUUUCGCUAAGAGAUCGGUCUAUAUCCCAUCAGUUAGUUGGUAAGGUAACGGCUUACCAAGGCAAUGACGGGUAGCGGGUUUGAGAGGAUGAUCCGCCACACUGGUACUGAGACACGGACCAGACUCCUACGGGAGGCAGCAGUGAGGAAUAUUGCACAAUGGAGGAAACUCUGAUGCAGCAACGCCGCGUGGAGGAUGACGCAUUUCGGUGUGUAAACUCCUUUUAUAUGUCAAGAAAAUGACGGUAGCAUAUGAAUAAGCACCGGCUAACUCCGUGCCAGCAGCCGCGGUAAUACGGAGGGUGCAAGCGUUAUUCGGAAUCACUGGGCGUAAAGGACGCGUAGGCGGGAAGCCAAGUCUGAUGUGAAAUCCUAUGGCUUAACCAUAGAACUGCAUUGGAAACUGGUUACCUAGAGUAUGGGAGGGGGAGAUGGAAUUAGUGGUGUAGGGGUAAAAUCCGUAGAUAUCACUAGGAAUACCGAAAGCGAAGGCGAUCUCCUGGAACAAUACUGACGCUAAGGCGUGAAAGCGUGGGGAGCAAACGGGAUUAGAUACCCCGGUAGUCCACGCCCUAAACGAUGUUCACUAGUCGUCGGAAUGCUAGUCAUUUCGGUGAUGCACAUAACAGAUUAAGUGAACCGCCUGGGGAGUACGGUCGCAAGAUUAAAACUCAAAGGAAUAGACGGGGACCCGCACAAGUGGUGGAGCAUGUGGUUUAAUUCGAAGAUACGCGAAGAACCUUACCUAGCCUUGACAUUGAUUGAACACUUUAGAGAUAGAGUGGUGCCCUUCGGGGAGCAUGAAAACAGGUGCUGCACGGCUGUCGUCAGCUCG
rnacentral:rRNA from 1 species